rnacentral:lncRNA from 1 species
AAAAAACAUAGAAGUGUUUAUUUAAAUUCAGAUAGGUAAAUUUAACAUUACUUGAAGAGAUAUUAACCUAAAAUCCAACUUUUCUUGUGUCCACAAAUUUUAAAAUUAAGGCUUAAAAAAUUAGGUGAGGUUAUUACACUAAGAUGCAUUUACACGCAAGUUUCAUCAGUUGACUCCAUGACUGCUACCCACUGCUUUUGUAAGCACAGAUAGCCACCAACUAUUUUUGUGACUUAUGCUGAAGAAACAUACUUUCUCUCGUUUACCACUUCUCCAGUCUCAAGACCUUAGGUAGUUCUCCUUUUGACUACAGUAUCACCCACUCUAUCCAUGGGGUAUACUCUCCAAGAACCCCACUGCAUAUCUCAAACUGUGGAUAGUACAACAUACGUACCUACACAUACAUACCUAUGCUAAAGUUUAAUUUGUAAAUCAGGCACAGUAAGAGAUUAGGAACAACACUGGUAAAACAGUAAGUUUUUGUCUUUUUCUUUUUUUUUUUUUGAGGCAGAGGAGUCUCACUCUGUUAUCCAGGCUGGAGUGCGGUGGUGCGAUCUCGGCUCACUGCAACCUCCGCCUUGCAGGUUCAAGUGACUCUCCUGCCUCAGGCUCCCAAGUAGUUGGGAUUACAAGUGUGCACCACCAUGCCUGGCUAAUUUUGUAUUUUUAGUAGAGACGGGGUUCACCAUGUUGGCCAGGCUGGUCUCAAACUCCUGACCUCAAGUGAUCCAACUGCCUUGGCCUCCCGAAGUGCUGGGAUUACAGGCUGAGGCGGGAUAAUUGCUUGAACCCAGGAGACAGAGGUUGCAGUGAGCCGAGAUUGCGCCAUUGCACUCCAGCCUGGGCAACAAGAGCGAAACUCCAUCUCAAAAAAAAAAAAAUUAUGUAACUGUGGUAUCUCACUCUCAAAAUACCUUUUUGCACCAUAGUGUGUGGGUAUGUGAAAUGGCAGAAACCGUGGAUAAGGGGGAUUACUGUACUUUAUUAAGUGUUGCUCCUUUUUAAAAAUGAAUGCUUCUUUAUGAAGAUUUGUAUGCAGGGGAUCUGUUAUCUCAAUGCUUACUAUUGCAUGAAAUCAUACUGUUUUAUAUCACAUGAUAAACACCAAUAGCAGGGGGCGAGUCUUCUAGUACCGACUGAGGAGAUUCCCUAUCAAGAAACUCACAGAAUUUUUUAAGUUUGUGUUAGGUAAACUACAAAUAUCUGAAAGUAUUUCAACUUGUUAGGUUUUACACUCAAAAGGAUAAGAUUCUUUUGUUUCUUCCUGGUUAGGCUUUUUAGAAAUUUCAAAUCCCACAGCCAAGCUUGGACAUAUCUUGCCCAUAUCUAAAUCAAGAGAUUAUAGCUAUUGUUUGGUUUUAGAAACUUUGGUGCUAUCAAGCCUAAGUAUAUGAUUAAAUGAUAUUAAAUGCCAAACAAUAAAAAAUACUUCCCACAGGUAUAUAUAGAGAGAGAGAUUUUAAAAUAAUCAUACACAACUUUUUAAAAGAUUAUAUGGGGAAUACUUACUUAUGUAAUCAACUCUAACUUUAGCCCUUCACAGCUGUAUUAUAACUUUAUUUAACAACUUAGUAAAAGUCAAAAUUGAUGGUUCUUAACAUUGUAUGUUGAGAAUAUAAAGUGCCUAAAAAAGACACAUUCUGCCCAAUGCUAGUUCUUUCAAUAUUAC